rnacentral:lncRNA from 1 species
AUGGAGCCCUGUCCACCCCAGAAUGUAUCAGUAAAUGCUUCCUGUGAGACUCACAGUGCUGUGAUAUCCUGGAAUCAAUCUCCUGUUGCUAAAUCUUACCAAGUGGUAGCUACGGGGGCAAACGGUCACAAACAUAUGUGCAACUCCUCCUCCACGAGCUGCAGCCUCACAGAGCUCCACUGUGAUGAGCGGUACACAGUUUCUAUGACUGCAAGUCACGAGAACUGCACCAGUAAAGCCAGUCAAAAUGCAACCCUGAAAACAGGUCCUUGCCAGCCAAGUAACGUUGCAGUUUCUUACAACUGUAGUAGUCGAUCUGCGUUGUUUACAUGGAUGCCCAGCAAAAAUUCACAGGACUAUUAUGGCACUGUACAGACAGGAAGUGGAGACAAGAUUCAAUGUCACAACACAAACCCAACAUGCACCAUUGAUAAUCUUGAAUGUGGGGUAUCAUACAACUUCUCUGUCCAAGCCUCUGAUGGGACAUGCAACAGCUCCUACAGUGACCAUGUGCAGUUAGGAGGAGUUCCUUGUCCUCCUAAUAGCAUCAAGCUGCAGCUGCUGCCAAUGGAAAUGGAAGUGCAGUUGUUGCACUUCUCCUGGACGCGUGUCACCUGUGGAAGCGUUGAGUAUCUGCUGACUCUGACAGGAAGUCUGCAAGGACCGUCAAACCUCUUUGAAGUCUCAUCCUACUGGACGAGCACAGAUUUCUUUGAGAUUCCUCUCCCCUGCAGUUCAUCUUACACUGCCAUGUUGCAAAGCAGGAACGCUGCAGGAACGAGUGGCAAAUCUGCUCCCCUUAAUGGAACAACAGGUAGAUUAUAUAGUUAUGAAGGCCAAGAGUUCUCAGAUACUGGUACAGCUAUUUCUUAUAAACUGACAUCUUGGUUCAUUCAAGGUGUCUUUUGGCUGCUCCAUUUAGGGGGCACCACAAUGAAUAAUCCACCUUCUUCUUUGAAACCUCCAUCACACCAACACCUUCAUGUCCUCCUUCACUACAUCCAUGAACUUCUUCUGGUAUUCCCUUACCCUUCUUUCCUGGUAGCUCAGAAUCCUUUUACCCACAGAAUUGUUGACCCUCAUCUGAACAUCUACCAACCAUCUCAAUCUGCUUCACUGCAUUUGUCUCCAACACAUUUAACAUCCUUGCCCUUAGACCAGGGGUAUUCAACUCCAGGCCUCAAGGGCCACAGUGUCUGCAUUAUUUCCAGAUAUCCAAACUCUACUCAUGACUGAUUACCUGGUUCAGGUGUGUCCAACCAAUUGGAGCAUGCCAGAUCCGGGUAUGUUGGAAAACCUGCAGGAAUGCGGCCCUCGAGGCCUGGAGUUGAAUACCCCUGCCUUAGACCCUCCUUCUAAACAAGGUUAAGCCCAAAAAAAAAACAGUUUCUGGGAAAAUAAAAAAGAAGAACCCCUCAGGGAAGUCUACAUGAGGAGAGAUCCUCUCCCAGGACGGACAGGCGACGUACUUGGACUGUCAAAUAAAAAUUGCCUUAUCUACUGUAACUCUACAACUACAUGUUUGAAUAGACGGGCUUUAUCCAGAUAGAGCUGGGACAGCUGGGGGCGCGAGACAAGCCAGAGGCAAGGUCUACUGCCAAGGAUAGGAGUACAGAUGAUCCUUCAUCAAGAUGGAACAAGGGACAGGUGGGGGCAUGAGACGAGCCAGAGGCAAGGUCCACUGCCAAGAACAGGAGCCUAGAGAAUCUGAGUCACCUCAUCCAUCUUACUCCAGAACUACUUCUCUAGUUCACAUCCUAUUGGAAGGAUACGACCCCUGGCAACAUUUAACAUCAUAACUUCUAACUUCAGACUCAUCCCCUAUCUGACUUUCUCUUCAACUCAAUUUUUAACGAACUUCUCCUUCAGGAUCACUCCUGCUCCCUUUCGCUUUCCAUCUGGUCUCAUGAACACAGUAGAACCACAGUUUUUCUUUCCAUUUUGUCUCUUGUUUUUCCUGUCUAGGUCCCAACAUUCAAGGUCCUUACUUUGAGUCUUGUACCCUUGACUUUCCUUUCUCUUUCUCUCUCUGUGCCUGCAAAAAUUCCUACAGUUCCUUUCUCCAGCAAUUGCCACAUUUUCACCAACACUCUAAAAGUCAACAAGUACCAGCGCCGAUUCUUGAUAACGUAUGAAAGUUCUGUUCAUCCCAUCCUGACACAACCUUCUGUAUUGGCCAGACUUGGGACCAGUACAUUACAACAUUGGAUUACGCCCCCAUGUGGUUGCAUUUUGUACUAAAAAUGAAAGAAGUCAUUUGGUAGUUUUCUGCAAACUCAUUUUAAUUUCUGUCUGUUCCUCAGCCCCUUGUCCACCGUCAGGAAUACUGUUCAGCGGUAACAGCUCGUUUGCCAAGGUGUCGUGGAAUAUGUCAGUGUAUGCCACCAUGUAUACCGUUUAUGACAACAGUGUAAAGCCAAGAGUCAAACUUUGCAACACUACCACACUGUCCUGCUCUUUGUCCAAUCUCAUUUCUAAUAAUCUGGUGGUCACUGCAAGCAAUGCAGCCGGAGAAAGUCAAGCAACAAGCGUCCCCAACGGUAGGAACUGAGGUUUUUGUUUUUAUGUACACUUUUUCAAACUUUUACACCAACUAAAUUGAGCUUUUCCUCUUUAGUGGUACUGCAACGCAGAAGGAGAGACCUCAGGACACAAAUGUCAAAGGAUGGUGAGUUUUAAUUUGCCUUUUAGUAAAUUUUUGAAACAAAAAUAAGUUGUUGCCCUUAACUCCACUCAUUUUCUCUGCAUCAGGAAGCGCCUCAGCUCCACUACUGGAGGUUACACAGGUCACGCCAACAGGCAUUUGGCUCCAGUGGUCCCCAGUGAAGAGGGCUUCACACUACAUUCUGCUGAUCACCAAACAAGGCGGCUCCGGUAGUCAGAAACUGACUGUGUACGGAGAAAUCAUAAACGUCCCAGAUCUGAGCCCCAACUCCACCUACUGCUUCUCUGUGACGCCCGUUUAUGGCUCUACGAAUGGACCACACUCAGAGCCCGUGUGCACACAAACAAUUGAAGAUCUGCAGUAAAUGAAAGGCUUGUUUGAACAAAACUGAAAUAUUCUGAUUACAUGUAAUGUUAGCCUAUCUCUAUAGUAUGUAAAGAUUGUACAAGUUUAAUUAAAAAUUUCUGCAGAUCUUUAGAAAUUUCAUUUUGUGAUUUAAGGCUAUGUUUGAUUCAACCUUUACACUGAAAGGCAUUGAUUUUAUUUUAAAGACCCAUUCCAAUGAAAAUUGUGUUUUUAACAUGUUUUUGUGGAAUGAAUGACAUGUAUAAAGAGAAUUAAACUUAAAUUUGC